GUUCGCCUCGUCCUCUUCUCUCAUCAUCUCAAGCUUGCCUUCUCCGAUUCCGUCUCUAUCAGGAGAAUCGAACCAAACAACAUCCCGAACCCUAACUCUAAAAUCCUAAAUUACACGAAAACAAGAAGGAAUCAAAGCCUCUCCUGUUAGGGCCUUGAUUCCUCACGCCACAAACUAUACACCGGUAACUCAAGCACAAGGUAAUGGAGAAAGAGAAAUCUACCUACGGAUCGGCGACUUGCUCCGACGGAAAAGGCAACGUAAGUGAAGAGAACAACGACGAACAACACUAGAGGCUCAGGUGAUCGCUACUGCAAUAUCCUUUCCGCUUUCAUAGCAUUCUUCUUCGUCUUUAGCCUCUU
rnacentral:lncRNA from 1 species